CCAGACUCCUACGGGAGGCAGCAGUGGGGGAUAUUGCACAAUGGGGGGAACCCUGAUGCAGCGACGCCGCGUGGGUGAAGGAGUAUUUCGGUAUGUAAAGCCCUAUCGGCAGGGAAGAAGCAAGACGGUACCUGACUAAGAAGCCCCGGCUAACUACGUGCCAGCAGCCGCGGUAAUACGUAGGGGGCGAGCGUUAUCCGGAUUCACUGGGUGUAAAGGGAGCGUAGACGGCCAAGCAAGCCAGGGGUGAAAGCCCGGGGCCCAACCCCGGGACUGCCCUUGGAACUGCUUGGCUGGAGUGCGGGAGGGGCAGGCGGAAUUCCUGGUGUAGCGGUGAAAUGCGUAGAUAUUAGGAGGAGCACCAGUGGCGAAGGUGGCUUGCUGGACAGAGACUGACGUUGAGGCUCGAAAGCGUGGGGAGCAAACAGGAUUAGAUACCCCAGUA
rnacentral:rRNA from 1 species